rnacentral:rRNA from 1 species
GAUGAACGCUAGCGGCAGGCUUAACACACGCAAGUCGAGGGGCAGCGACUGUAGCAAUACUGGUGGCGACCGGCAAACGGGUGCGGAACACGUACGCAAUUUACCCUGGUCUGGGGGAUAGCCCGGAGAAAUCCGGAUUAAUACCCCAUAAGAUAUUAGAGUGGCAUCACUUCGAUAUUAAAACUCCGGUGGACCAGGAUGAGCGUGCGUCCCGAUUAGCUAGUUGGUAGGGUAAUAGCCUACCGAAGGCGACGAUGGGUAGCUGGUGUGAGAGCACGACCAGCCACACGGGCACUGAGACACGGGCCCGACUCCUACGGGAGGCAGCAGUGAGGAAUAUUGGUCAAUGGACGCAAGUCUGAACCAGCCAUGCCGCGUGAAGGAUGAAGGCCUUCUGGGUU